UUCUAUUUCAAAGUUGUAUGAAAAAAGAAGCGGCAAUGUUCCCUCCUUUUCUUUUUUGUGUUCUCAAGUCCCUCUUUUUAGUUGAGUAGUGCCGCCUCCCAUUUCUCAAUUCUCCUCCAUUUCUCUCUUAAUUCUUUGUGACAUUCAUUUCUCCAUCAAAUUAUUGCAACAGUUAGAUCUACUAUAUUGCUUCCAUUAAUAUUUUAUUUCUUUCUCUUUCACACACAUAGAUCCUCUUGUUCAAUAAUGCUUAAUUUUCUCCGAAAUCUUUUAUUGAUUUAAUAGCAUAAAUGAUCAAAUCUGUGUGAUGGGCAUUUUAAGACGCAAAGCCACUUCUGGCGCCUCCUUUGCUUUGAUACAAUUCCUCAAGCUAAGUUAAGAAAUAUUAUUUCUACUUCAAUUUUUUUUCUGUUGCGUCUCUCAUACAGAAUUCUUUUUCUUUCAAUUGUAGGGCAAUUAAAAUUUGGGUUUCUCCAGAUGAUAUAUUACGUGUAUGUAUUUGUGGGUUCUUAUUGAUUUAAUUCUAUUGUAGAGGUAUGAAGAAAUUUGUCUAUUAUUCUUUAUUUUUUGAGAGAUUAAGUACUCUUAAUUUUAUAUCUCUUCUUCUUAAUUCUUGUGGUUAUUUGCGGUCAAAGAAAUUAAUAUUUAUUGUCUAACUUCGAGUACAUGAAAGUGUAAAUUUAUUCAAGAGCAACUUUACCAGACAAGUGGUUACAUUAGCGUUUGAGGAAGCAGUUACUAAAAUUAUUUGUAUUUCGAUUCGGCCCCAUGUUGUUGAAUAAAUUUUAUUUUGUUUCGGUGUUUUAGUUGACGGAGUUUGUAAUGAAUAUUAUCUCAAUGUAGUAUUAGUUCUUAAUUAUGUGAUCGUCGGUGAAAAUUUUUGUUGUUA